rnacentral:rRNA from 1 species
UACGUAGGCAGCGAGCGUUGUUCGGAGUUACUGGGCGUAAAGAGUGCGUAGGCGGUUUUCUAAGUUUGGUGUGAAAUCUCCCGGCUUAACUGGGAGGGUGCGCCGAAAACUGGAAGGCUUGAGUAUGGGAGAGGUAAGCGGAAUUCCUGGUGUAGCGGUGAAAUGCGCAGAUAUCAGGAGGAACACCUAUAGCGAAGGCAGCUUGCUGGGACGAUACUGACGCUAAGGCGCGAAAGCGUGGGGAGCGAACAGG